rnacentral:rRNA from 1 species
UACGUGGGGUGCGAGCGUUGUUCGGAAUUAUUGGGCGUAAAGGGUCCGCAGGUGGCAGUGUAAGUCUGCUGUCAAAGAAUGAGGCUUAACCUCAUCAAGGCAGUGGAAACUACACAGCUAGAGUACGGCCGGGGUAGAAGGAAUUCCUGGUGUAGCGGUGAAAUGCGUAGAGAUCAGGAAGAACACCGGUGGCGAAAGCGUUCUGCUAGACCUGUACUGACACUGAGGGACGAAAGCUAGGGGAGCGAAUGGG